rnacentral:lncRNA from 1 species
GGGAAUCUAGUCUGGAACUUGUGCAGAACCCUGUGAGUAAAGUGACUGUAGUGAGGUGUACAGACAUUUUCUCCAGUGAUUCCUGUGCUGAGGUCAUCAUUUUACUUGAAAGCAAACAGAAUGGAAGGCACACCUGAGCAGGGCUGUCCCCCACAGCUACUAUCUGAGUGUCCCGGUCAUCAGCCAUGCACACGCUCUCAGCUGCUCGGCCUCUGCGACCCAGUGGGAACAGUGGACCAGAGGAGAAGAUAUGGAUGAACUCCUUGGACCCACCCUGUUCCCAGCUCAUCUGGGAGAAUGAAGCUAAUUGGUAAAUCCACUGUUUGAUGCUUGUAAUGAAGACUCAAGGAGUUCUGUCUCUACCAAGUUCCUUGCCCUUAAUGACUCAAGAAUUAAUUUUAUCUUUUCCUCUCAAAACCUUGAAAGAAAUGCUUGAGUCCUUGUAACCUGUAAAAUAAAUGUUGUUACUGAAGGGAAAAGCAA